UAAAUGUCCUGAGAACCGAUCUUUUGCUCUCCAAGUCCCCAGGCUCUCCCCGAACACUGUCGUCAAAAUACCACCUCAGAAUGCUUAAGACGGGUCUUUAUGAACGAUUUCAACAUUUUAAAAUAACUUCUUCAUUUCCCUUCUUCUUUCCUAAUAGAAGACCAUCAAUUCGAGUUAUAUACAGGAGUUAUGUAUUAAAAGAGAAAGGUCGAAUGGUAUAUAUCAAUUUGGAAUGGGAACCAAGCUCUUUGAAUGUAUCACUUCCUAACAACUUUUGCAAAAACAGCAAAAUUUUUGUUUGUUUAAUUUUGGAGUUUUUAAAAUUAUAUAACUAGACUAAAAUUAAGAAUCAGGUGAAUCUAACAAUGCACAGAAUGCAUGGAGUUAAUUUUUUUUUUUAGAAUUAGCAUAUGGAUCUGUCAACAUUUCUUUUAACUAAUUACUUUUUUCUCGAGACAAGGUUUCUCUGUGUAACAGCUCUGGUUGUCCUGGAACUCACUCUGUAGACCAGGCUGACCUUGAUCUCACAGUGAUCCAAUUGCCUCUGCCUCCCCAGUGUUGGGAUUACAGGCAUGCACCACCACCGCCCGGCUCUUAACUAAUUACUUUUAACAUUUUUGUUUCCUAUAUAUUUUGCAUUGAGUUUGCCUAGUUCUUUGGGUGUUUAAAAACUAGAUUAAUUGAAAUUUGAUAUUUUGGGGUUUGGAGAGAUGGUUCAGCAGUUAAGAGCACUUGCUGCUUUUCCAGAAGAGCUGAGUUCAGUUCCCAGCACUUCCAUGUUGGGAGGCUCACAAGGGAUCAGAUGUGCUUGUCUGACCUCCAUGGGAGGCAUACAUUCACACACACAUAUACAUAAAGAGCAUUAACAGCAGAUCUUUUAAUGAUUAUUAUUUAAUUUAAAAAAAUCUUAUAAAAGGAAUUUUGAUGUUUUUCUCCAAAGGAUAGUUUUAUCAUUUUGAAAUUAUUUACACGCUAAAUUGUUAUAGUAUUAUAUUUGAUAUUUGUUUUGGUUUUGUUUUCUUUUGAGACAGCGUAUUUCUAUGCAAGCCUUGCUGGCCUGGAAUACACUGUGUAGAUCAAGAUGGCCUUGAACCCACAGAGAUCUGCCUGUCUACUUUUUCAGAGCUGGAAUGAGAAGUGUGCACUACUACACUAGGCUCUCUUUGAUAUUUGUAUUGAGGUCACCCUGUAAGAAAAGAAUAAAAGCGAACUCAAGGGAAGAGUUUGUAAUUGUGUGGCUCAUCACUCUGCUGUCUAAACAAAGUUAAAUAAUUCCACCUUUCACACUUUGUGGUGCUGAAUGAAGAGCCUGAGUUGUAUAAAGUACAUUUCUGGAACUUUUCAGGUUAAAAUAGCAAAAAGCUACAUUGUUUGAGGAAUUAAAAUUACUUUCCUCUAUGAAUCUGAAUUUGUAUAGUUGACUUGACUUUAUGAAAAUAAUGUAACAAGAUUAUGGUAAAUAUUCCUGAUUUUAUGUUCACACAGAAAGCUGACAUGUGUUGAAGAUCUGUGGGGUUCUGGGUGUGCAUCAUCUCAUUCAGCAUCAGAGUAGCCCUGCAGAUGAGGAUGCAGGCAGAGUGAUUAGUAGUGUUGCCAAGGUCAUACAGCAAGUGGUAGAUUUCAGAUGUGAUCUCAGGCAGCCUGUCUCGGGCCUGCCCCUGUCCCUGGACUCUGGAUCUUUACUGUUUUAUGCACACACGCCAUGCCUGUGCUCAAUCCUAUCCCGGCAUCAGUUUCCAACAGAAGUGAAUGAGACCAAAUUUCCCCACAUCAUCAGCAGCACAGAACACUGAAAUUUUUAGAUUUGUACUUAUUAAUUAAUGGAAGAAUGAUCAUCUUCCCCUAAUUCUACUUUUAAGGUAAGAAUGAGUUUAAGGGGUGGAGGUAUGGCUCAGUGCUAGAGCAGAUAUUAGCCUAUCAUUUCCCUUGUCAUUUAAUAGGAACUGUAUAUUAUAGACAUUUCCUUUUGCUGUUAAGGCACACACCCUCCAUCAGUUUUUAUUUGGUUUACGGUAUUUUACUGAUAGUUUUGAUUUUUCAGUUUUAACUUGUGUCUUUAGAUUUUAAAUCAUGUUGUAAAGGCCUGUUCUAUUCUGAGGCUAAGAAGUUUUUCCUUAUUUAUUCUAGAACUCUGACUUUCUCACUUCCCAUGCUUAGGUCUUCUGCCCUUCUAGAAUUCAACCUGGCAGGCACCUGAGAUACUGUUCCAGAGUUUUGAUCGUUUUCCUCUCCAGCCGUUUAUGAAUGCCUUUGUGUUUCCCGCUAUUUGGACUGUCAGCACCAGGCUGCCCGCCCGCCUUGCCUCUGCUCUAGUCUGUUGGUUGGGGUCUGUUUGAGCUGCCAUCCCUCCUGUUUCCUUGGACACGGCUUAAAAGAAGUCAAGGUCACUUUGCUUUCAUUUGCCUUUUCUUAAGUUCUCUUGAUUGGUGCUGAUUGACAUUUAAAAGAUGAUAUUUAGAUCCGUUCUAGUGAGGAACAAAACCCCAGAAAACAAACAGAAACAUCCCGUGUCCUCCUGGCUCUGUUCCCUGCAGAUCUAGGGUCACAGGUAGCCACACCCAGAUUUUCAUGUGAGUGCAGAUCUGAACUCAAGUUCUCAUGUUUGUGCAACAAUCACUUUUGCCCACUGGGCCAUCUCUCUGGUCCCCAUAUUAAACUGUAUUCUGUAGCGAACAACAUAAAGUGUCUCCGUUUCCAUUCAAGUUAUUGCUGAAAGUGAAUCAUUUUCAUCUCCAGCAAACCGUGCACACUUUGGCCUCCUCACUAUUUCUCCUCUUGCAAAUGAAGAGUUUAAAACCACAUAAUUCAACUAGUGAAGAAUCUUCAACUAUUUGAGAUCCUAUCUGAUGUGGCUUCCUGCAUGGUUGACCAUUCAGGAAGAAAGCAUACAUUGGCAGCUCUCCCAGUGAGAUCACAAUCAGGAGGAGAGAAAAUUUCUCAGGAGAAACACAAGGCUGGCCAUCUGUGUCAAAGAGGAGCAUGGAAUGGACCUUGCUAACACCGUGGUCUCCAAAUUCCAGUCUCCAGGACCACAGACAAUGCAUUUCUGCUGUUUAAGCACCGCCUUCCUCCACAAAUGAAUUAGGAAAUCCAAUUGGAGAGCACCAGUGGACCCUAUGGAAAAAAGUGGGUCCCCUGAGACUUCUGACUUGUGAAGGCGAAUCCUGCUUCCAGUACCAGGGAUGCCUUACAUCACUUCCUGGAGCAUCGGGGACUGGCAUGGGCUUCUCCCCAGAACCACAAGCAAAUGACAGA